AGCGAACGCUGGCGGCAGGCUUAACACAUGCAAGUCGAGCGGGCACUUUCGGGUGUCAGCGGCGGACGGGUGAGUAACGCGUGGGAACGUGCCCUCUGGUUCGGAAUAACUCAGGGAAACUUGAGCUAAUACCGGAUACGCCCUUUUGGGGAAAGGCUUGCUGCCGGAGGAUCGGCCCGCGUCUGAUUAGCUAGUUGGUGAGGUAACGGCUCACCAAGGCGACGAUCAGUAGCUGGUCUGAGAGGAUGAUCAGCCACACUGGUACUGAGACACGGCCCAGACUCCUACGGGAGGCAGCAGUGGGGAAUAUUGGACAAUGGGCGCAAGCCUGAUCCAGCCAUGCCGCGUGAGUGAUGAAGGCCUUAGGGUUGUAAAGCUCUUUUAUCCGGGACGAUAAUGACGGUACCGGAGGAAUAAGCCCCGGCUAACUUCGUG
rnacentral:rRNA from 1 species